AAUUAGCCAAAAUAGCUAGCAUGAAGCUAAAAUAUUAGCUAAACUCCAAAAUAGCCUGAAAACCCUUAAUGAAUGCCAAAAUAGUCUAAAAAGCUAGCAGAAUGCUAUUAUAUAGAUGCUCCUGAACUCACCACCGGAUCUCCGUUCCCGUCGUCCGUGAAGAACCAGUCGUACUGGAAAAGAGCAGAAAUGGUGAGUUCUGCUGCCGUCGUGGGAGCAGGAGUCCUGACGGGUCUGCAGCUCACGUUCUGGAUCAGCGUCUCCACGAUCCGGUACUGGUCCGGCAUGUGGGUCACCAUGUGGGUCAUGUUGUCCUCCGUGGUGCGGACCAGAGUGGGGCCGAACACGAUGGCGAGGUUCCUCGGUUCCAUCUACACACAGAUGAAACAUUUUCGGUUCUGCUACAGCGUCAGUCCAAACAAAAGCAGCAGAACAACGGUAAGAACCUUGUUUUUCUCAGAGUUUUCAGCGACGGUCUUCAGAUGAGCAGAGAGGAACUUGAGCGUCUCGUAAUGAUGGUCCGGUAACUCGUGCAGCUGCGGGUCAACAACACGUCUGAGGUUCUGCUCAGGUUCUGGUUGUAAUGAGAGAAGGUUCUGCUCACCAGCCUCUUCAGCACUUUCAGCCUCUCCACCGGGUCUUCGAUCCGGUUGGCCUCGAUGAAGUCUGCGUACCUCCCUGCGGCACAGCAUCACAGUCAGCAUCACCUGAAACUCCCGGCUUACCCACAAGGUGGCGCCUCGACUCACUGUUGGUGAACAGCGGUUCUGGAAGUUUACGGAAGAAGGACUUGACUUGCAGCAAACCUCCACGAUCAGAGGCACGAACUGGAACACAGAGAGACGCUUUAGGAGGGGGUCGCCACGGCGCCCUGAUGCUCCGCCUUCUCGUCCGCUUCACCUUGUUGGUCUGCGCCGGAGGACAGUCGUCUAACCGAACUCCGAAGGUGACGCCUGCGGACGGCUUCUUCUCGAAGGGCUUCCUCAUGAGUCCCGGGAUGCCUUUCCUCCACGUCCCUUUAUCCUUGGGGGGGCUGGUGUCGUCUGCAGGCGCGGGGGUGAGACAGGAGAGCGUCAUGAAGACACGGAGAACCCCACAACCCUCUCAGAGCUGCUUGAAAUGCAGGAAACCUUCUUUGGUGGCGUCGCAGAAGACGUCGGACGACGAGUCCCCCCGGGAGCCGGAGUCCUCCGAGGAGCGGUCUAUCGCCUGCAGAGCGCCAGACGAACAACACACUCACGUAUGAGAGAGAGCCGUUUGGCUUCAGAGCUGAACAGGAAGUGAUGCGAAAGGAGGCGGGGAGAGCUGGCACUCCGCCUCAAACCUUACCUUCCUCAACCCUUUCAGGCCUGGUAUCAAAGAUCUCCUGAACACAAGGAAAAGGGAUGGAGUUACAAGCGUGAAUGCGUUUAUGAGAAACCAGACAUUUGAGGAAGACGAGGAAUUACCGAAAAAAAACAGUAAAAACAAAAACAUCUGGAUUUGUUUUCAGGUCGAGUGGGAACAUCUCUGGAUUUCUGGGAGCAAAAGCUCAUGGGCCAAAAAAAAUGAUUUUAAUCAAGAAAAAAAUGGUUUAUUAUUCUCAAAUAGAAGAAAGACUACGUUUCACAGAAAAGUGAAGCUGAAUUUGCUGAUUUGAAGCACAAAAUAAAGAAAUAGAGGGAAUAAUAACAAAAAAAAG
ensembl:lncRNA